CCUACGGGAGGCAGCAGUGGGGAAUAUUGCACAAUGGGCGGAAGCCUGAUGCAGCGACGCCGCGUGAGGGAUGACGGCCUUCGGGUUGUAAACCUCUUUCAGUAGGGAAGAAGCGAAAGUGACGGUACCUGCAGAAGAAGCGCCGGCUAACUACGUGCCAGCAGCCGCGGUAAUACGUAGGGCGCAAGCGUUAUCCGGAAUUAUUGGGCGUAAAGAGCUCGUAGGCGGUUUGUCGCGUCUGCCGUGAAAGUCCGGGGCUCAACUCCGGAUCUGCGGUGGGUACGGGCAGACUAGAGUGAUGUAGGGGAGACUGGAAUUCCUGGUGUAGCGGUGAAAUGCGCAGAUAUCAGGAGGAACACCGAUGGCGAAGGCAGGUCUCUGGGCAUUAACUGACGCUGAGGAGCGAAAGCAUGGGGAGCGAACAGGAUUAGAUACCCUGGUAGUCCAUGCCGUAAACGUUGGGCACUAGGUGUGGGGGACAUUCCACGUUUUCCGCGCCGUAGCUAACGCAUUAAGUGCCCCGCCGUCGGGAGGUACGGCCGCGAGACGUAAACUUAAAUAGUAAGUAGACGCGUGAGACGUAGACCGAACGGACGACGACGAGGGAGGUAGG
rnacentral:rRNA from 1 species